ACUCAACAAAUUUAUAAUUUUUUUGGGCUUAGUAUCAAAAGAUGGAAUAUUUUAUCAAGUUUGAAAUCUAAUGAAGAAACUUUCCUGAAGUAUGCAUUGCAUUAAUGCUAUUUCUCACAAUUCCUGUGACUACAUCUAGUGCUGAACGAUCAUAACUUCGAUGAUGUUAAAGACACUUUUGCGGAACAGAAAUCUCGAAAAAAUAACUUAUUGAAAUUAAAUUGUUGUUUUGUUUAUUAAAAUCAUCUGUUGAAAUAAAAUUUGUUUCUUUUAAUCAAACUGA